AGCUACUUAGUAAUAAUCCGCUUUAAUAAUUAUCAAAGCUGCUUCCACUAUAUUGAAGCAAAUGUAGCAGUAAAGAAAUAUUCAGUCAAUACACCAUUUCAAAGAUAAAUAAAUUCCUAUAGAGGUUGUUUACUUUCAAUUUUUUGUCAAAUUUGGAAUUACUUUUUUGUUGUAGCCUUAUACUACUGGAAUCUUGUGGCUGAUGUAUUUUUGGCGGGGAUCAUUGUUAUGACUGAUGCAUAUUGAUUCAACCGUGUUGCCUAUUUUACUUGGAAAAUCGCUGCCAAAAAUUGGACAGAUGUGAGUUGGUAGUAAGCAAUCAUUCAACAUGAAUGGUGAGGUACCAAAUGUUCCCAUCACCACCUUAGCAGGGAUAACAAGUCUAACAGACUGUAAGUAUAACAUUGAUAGUCCUUAUUGUAACCCACAAGCCUGAAGUCCA